UUUCUUUUUCUGGUUUUGUUUCAUUCGAGCGAGGAUUUCCAGUUAUUCUCCCUCUAGUGCAAAUAAUCCAUGGAUUUCUUCUCGCCGAAAGACAAUGGAGGCUAGCGAUUCUGCAUUUUGUGGAGAAAAUUGAUCCGGUUCUCCAACAAUCUCCUUGAACUUCGUUAUCCAUUCGAAGGAUUUUACUCUUGCUGAUUUAGCCAUCAGAAGUUGCUGGUGUUCUGUUAUAGCUAACAGAAUGAAGAUCGGCAUGGAACAACUCUCAUACUGGAGUUGAACUCAAUAUUCUCCACGUUCGGUGAUUCCUGAAGCGAGAUCGAAGCUAGUAGCUUCAUUGUCAUUGAAAGGCAGACAUCUCCGGAAGUUGAUUCUUCAAUGGUUCAAUUGAGAGUAACCGCCAGCGAAGGAGCUCGAGGUGAGGGGCUCAGAUCCGAAGCCGAUCAGCGGAAGUGACAGGGACGACGACAGCGGCAGCGGAUCCGGUUCUUUCUCGGAGAUCAGACGCUCUCGUCGCGGAACGCGUCCUUCCGGAGCUCGAGGUGCAGGGUUUCGGAUCCACGCCAAGUUUGGAGGUCUUGGCUUAGGUCUAAGGGUAGAGCUCCGAGACCGAUCGGCGACAUCGGCAGUGACGGCAACAACGGUAGUGAGAGGACGCUUAACCGGUUCUCUCUCGGCUCUGUCACUCGCUCGAUGGAACUCGGAAGUGUACAAGGCGAACGAAUAUAACCUAAUCUUCGAGCUCAUCUCCCGUCCGAGGUAGGAACCCUCGACCGAUCGCCUUGUUUUAUGUCUUCUUCGUGCCUUGUUUCAGGCUCGUCAGACCGGGCCGCCAUUGUCUGGUUCGUGUGGGUCUCAGCCUUGUCUAUAUGCAUGCUGUGAUUGUGAGGUCUUGGAUGUUGAUUGCUUUUGAAUCCAUACUCAAGCUCAGUCUCGGUGCUCCCCGUUUUUCUUGCGCCUAUUCAAUGUUCGAUGUAAUGCCUAAGCUAAACGCAGGUUCAUAAUCUUUACUGUGCUCAAAGCUUGCUGUCCUUUUGUUUGUACUGAGUAUGAACUAGUUGUCCUAUGUCGAUCUGAAGCCAAGUAACUUGUUUCUAAAUGCGAAUUAUGACCUUAAAAUUGGAGAUUUUUAGGCUAGCUAGGACUACAUCUGAAACGAAUUUUAUGACUGAGCAUGUUGUUACUCGCUGGUAUCAUGCACUAGAAAUGCUCUUUAAUUGUUCAAAAUACACUGUUGCGAUUGAUAUUUGGUCUGUGGGUUGCAUACUUGGUGAAAUUAUGACUAGGCAGUCCAUAUUCCCAGGCAAAGACUAUGUCCAUCAGUUGAGACUUACUACAGAAGUAUGCUUGAUGCAACUUGCUUUCAUAGUGUUUAAGGAGGUACUGUCCCUGUUUGUCAUACUGUGAAUGUCUCCUUGAUUGGCUUCUCUAACAUUAAAAAGUGUCUUGUUAUGCAUAAUUGUAGGAAUGCUUCAUAAUCAGAUCAUAGUAUCCGCUCAUUCUCAUAGCAAAUACAAGUGUUAUCUAGGAAAUGAGAUGUGAAUGCCUGAUGGUGCUUUUCCUUAAAGAGAUGCAAGAUACAAUCUAUUUAAAUCUAAUGAGGAUUUGACUGCUGGUGGAGUGGAGUUUAGAUUCAUGGAUCGAUGCUUCAUGAUAGUGGAAUAUUGUGGGAUUAAAUAGUUGUUCUGCUCUGAUAUUCUGUUUCUUUUUACUGAUCUGACCUUCUGUGCAAAUGACUUAAUAUGAGCUGGUUGUUGUGGUUUUCUGUGUUCGAAGUCUUCAUGAAAGUCGAAGAUGGUUCGAAUGUCUUUCCAAUGAACUAUAUAAUGCCCUGAUUGAAUCUCAUUUGAUAUGAUUUUCACAUGUCCAAAGUUCAGUCCAGAAUCUGUCCUGUUUGAGACCUGAUGCAUGUGUUCAAAUUUGAGUUAGUAAACAUGCUUUGCUAGAGUUGAAUCUUUCAUGAGAGUCAUUAUCAUAUUUGAACCCGUUUGAUGUGAAUAUCAUGCACCCAUUUGGCUAAUUGCAAUUGAUAUUUGCUGUUCAUGCGUGAAUUUGCUGAUAGUGAAAUUUGGAAAUAGUCUUGAUUUAGAAUACAUGCUUUGUUUUUAUAGCUUCAAAUACUUGUGAAUUUGGUAGGAAUUUUUUGUGUGAGGAGUUUGGGAUUAGGUCCUUCAUGAAAGUUGUCUUUCACAUAAAAACUGCAUAAAAAAAAUGGUUGUAUGUUUGCCUUGCUGCUCUGUUCUACUUUUGAUUGACCUUGAUCUCUUCCAGGAUUUUAUAAAUUCACGUGCUUUUUGGUACAAUAUAUAAUGAAGUGCUGUCUUUGAUUUUUGAAGUUGAUUCGAUUAUAGAAAUGCUAUCUUUUAUGUGGCUAGUUGCUGUUAGUCUUAAGAUGAGAUAGUAGAUUUGUCCAAUUGCUUUCAAUAUGUUGUAGAAUGACGGUGUGACAUGCUACUAUGCUCUAUUCUGGAUUGACUUGCUUUUUUAGAAUUUUAGAAAUUCAUGUGUUGAUAUGAUGAUAGUGUCUCUAUGAGAUUUAUUUGGGAUAUCACCUAGAAUUUGAUCCAGAGACCUUGUAACUUUAGUCACUCUUUUUGAAUAUAAAAAAUGUCUUGCUUUUGAUUG